UAUCACACACACAGCCAGAGACUUCUGGAGUUAAUAAAAUGAUUCGAUAUUCUUCCCCAAAAUGUUUUAGAUUAACCCAUCAAAUUUUCCUAAAUGGUGGCACAAUGGAAUACCUGCAGGCACCAGGCUCAAGGGAGGUUUGAAAAUCCUGUUAAUUAGAAGCCAGCACCACACACUGGAGUCGCCCUCCAUUGCGGCUUAUUUUAUCUCUGAGUGAGAACAUGAGGACACCAGCAAAGACAUCAGCACUGGAGCCAAUUAAUUAAAAGUGAAAUAAAUAUUAGAGUCACAUAUGAAGCCUGCUACAAGAUUUCUCCAGCCUUCUCAAAGAGAUGGGGAUGAUGGUUCCAGGUAGAACCAUUGAGACAGUUUAAGGUUGUGAACCAGGAGUUGUUUUCAUCAGAUGGCAUUGUGC